GAAGCCAGAGCGGAAGCCUUCUCGAGGAGAAGGCCAGAAAUUAGGUUUGGGUGAGCCCUAUUUCAGUUGGUUGCAAUCACCCAAGCGAUCAGAGCUUUGGAAGAAGAAAAAGAGUGAAAAGAAGCUGGAGCUAUUUAUACGCUGCAGCAUUGAGAGUGCCUCCCACAUUGAGGGCACCCUCCAUAGCAUUGAGGGCACCCUCAAACCAGUCAAAGUAACUGUUUCGCAUAUGGAUAAAACUUUAUCCAAAUACCAUGCUGGAGGUGCCCUCCAUGCUUAUGGGAGGUGCCCUCAAGCCGAAGAUAGAGUUUCCAGGCCCUAUAAAAAGGUCCAUGGAGCUAGGGAAUUAAUCAUCAACUCUUGUACUAACUUCUUAGCAACUACUUAAGCUUUUAUUGUGUAAAAGACUUCUCCGCCUUCAGAGAAGGAGAUUUUGAUUGAGCUUUUCAAUCGCCUUGGAUUAACAACCACCUAGGCUAUAACCAAGUCAAUCCCUGAGUCUCUUCUUUAAUUCUGUUCUUUUAUUUUUAUUUAUUGUUGUUGCACCUUAAGAGUUGAAAGAACGAGGAGGAUAUUUUUUUUUCAAGCAAUUCACCCUCCCCUCUUACCGGCCCGCUGCACCAACAAUUACUACUCUAACUUCUUUUCCAUGUGAAGAUUGCAAGUAUGUUCAUUAUGCAAAUAUGUUUAUUAUGCAAAUAUGUUCAUAUUUAUUUGAUUACUCAUGUAGAUUCUCAAGUAUAUUUAUUAUACAAGAAUCCAAUAUUUUUUUCAUAGGCGAAAAAAGAGUACAUCGCCUGUCUCAAAUCUUUUGGUUACCAAUCAGAAAAAUGCAGGCACCUAUUGAAAAAAUACUUGCAAUGUCGAAUGGAAAGAUUAGUUUGCAUCUAGUUUUGCUUUUUCCCUCUUAAUGGAACAUUCUUGAGAUAGAAAUGAGUGCAAAAUAAGUCUGUUAAUAUCUUAGUUAUCUUGGAAGAAGUCUAUUGUGUCACUUGUGUUGGGCUAUUGUAUAAUUUGAAUAGUUAAUUCUAUAUUUUUUCCCUCUGCUUGAUGUUAUAAUUGUUCCUCUUUGAAAGUGCCCUUAAUCUUAGUCCUUCAUCUCCUAUUGACUUUAUUCACAGAUUAUUAGUCUUGAUGAAGCUCAUACCUUUUGGGUGCUUGACAGAUGAGUAGAUUAGAAGUCUUUGUUUUCUUAAACACACUAAUGGCUUUAUUUUGUUUCCAAAAACUUGAUGGCGAAACAAGACCUAUCAGAGCUUGGUUUCCACAAUGCUACAAUAGAUUUAUCCGAGAAACCUUUGAUCCCUCCUUUAAGAUAAUAAUUGUUGAUUAAGAAUCACCCACUAGUGGGAAUUACAUGAAGCCCUUGAUCAAAUUGUAUCCGUUAUUGCUUGAAUCAGUUGAUUAAGGUUGAAAGUUGAGCCUGCACUUUCAAUAAGACUAGAAAUUUUAUCCUUUAAUCAAGUAGUAGCUUCUUGAUGGAGUUUAUUUAGCAUAUGAAACUCAUUUAAGAUUUAUGAUUUGUUGUUCAAUUUUUUUUUGACCUCAUACUUGUUAUAAUUUUUGGUUUAUAAUGCAUGGGACCUUAUUUAACAUUGUUUAAAUUUUAAAUUGUGUAUUUAAAUACAUAUAUAACAAGUAGCCUUAUUGAAGAAACUACAGUGCCAAAGAAGGACAUUAUUGUAGUCAUUCAAAGGUUCAAUAUCCAAGUUAGCAAUUUGACUAGCUCAAGUAAGUUUUACAAUAAUUUCUUUAUAUAACUAUACUUAUAUGUUAGAUUUCCCCUUGAAUUGUUGUCAAUCAAUAGAAUAAUGAUGCUGUAUUUUGUCAAUAUAAAUAUUUCUUUUAUUUAUAUGAUUAUUUUUACAAGAUCUGACAACUUUUUUUUAUUUCUAUAAUUGUAGAUUGUGCCUUGUGCAUUGUUAGCACUUGCAAUUUACUUGGAAGUUGUUUCGGUGUUUCCAUACACAAGGUCAACAAUUGAUGCAGAACAUAAAGGUACGUAACUCGGGCAAUUUGUGAGACUUGAGAUUUUUAAUGCAAGUAGUGAGCUUUGUUAGGUUCUAAAUUACCUUGCUAAUGUGUAAAAGUCAUAUGGAGAACAGUAAUAGAAAUCAUGUGAUUUAUGGUUUGAUACUACUAAGUUUGAUGAGUACAACUCAUUUUGUA